CUGACCAAAGACAGGCUCUGGCACGCCCGCGACCCUCACGAGGAAAACCAGACGAAUGGAUGGAUGGACUUUGCCCUUCUUAAUGUUCCAAGUUUUGUUCUCUUUCUUCAUUUUAAUGAUUGCAAUUGUCUUCACUUGGACAUCGAGCUACCUUGUGAGUGACCUCCCAAAAAUGCAGGUACCGCUUGUAUGGGACCCGUGGACAUGUGCCGAAUACUCGAGCCCAAAUCCCGAAAAGCCUGGCCCUUGAGCAAACGUUGACCAUGUAGCUGCCAGCUGUGCCUCUAUAAUACGUUCAGGUAAGUACCCUGGCAUCAUUGCAACACAUUGUGUAGUGAGAAAAUGGCCUGCCAAAUAGAUCUAGUUAAAUCUCUGCUGUUAUCUUCCAAAACAGCUCCAAUUACAGCGAGCAGUCUGCUGCGACAGCGCGGAGGGAGAACCGAGUGUUGCAAAUGACCUGCAGCUGACGGUGAGCAAAACAGAUGCGUGGGACAGAUAAAGAAUGCUGGCACAUAAACACAUCCAGCUGUUUCGUUGAAGAGCAAAAUCUGUUGUGGCGUUACCGGUGACACAUCCCAAAUGUCCGACACGCUCAGAGCCGUGAGGAAAGGUAUAAGUUUUCGUGCUGGUUUCGUUAGCUGGGCUUUUCAUCAGCAAGAAAUGAACAUUUUGCCCGUGAAUUUCGACCUUGUGCUCACAUUUGCGCUUUAAAUUGGAACUCAAAUGUACUGCGAGAUACAUAUUGAGUGUGUCGUGAUCGGAUUUAAAAUUCACAUUUUUGUUUUGGGUCAGCGAUGGUGUAGUGGUACACUCGCAUGACUUUAGGAUAAGCGAUGUUGAAAAUGAAUGAAUAAAUGAAUUUUUGGGGGGUUCAGUAGUUUGCAUGAUCAACACGGCGCUGCAGUUUUGGUGAGCAACACAAUUGAACUUGGCUGAACUCAUUUCAUGUCGUCAUGUGAACAGUUCCUACAAGAAGGGAACCUUCUCUUUGAGGUGAUGUCAUUCGGAGUGGGGGCACUGUCUCUCA